AAGUCGUACGGAGAGUGGGGCAACUCACUCUCAGUGGCAAACGGGUGAGUAACGCGUGAAUAACCUGCCUUUGAGAAGGGGAUAACUGUCCGAAAGGAUAGCUAAUACCCUAUAUUGCCUUUUGUCACUAAGACAAAAGGUGAAAGCGAGGCUGUCAAAGGCUUCGGCUCAAAGAGGGGUUCGCGUCCUAUCAGGUAGUUGGUGGGGUAAUGGCCUACCAAGCCAAUGACGGGUAGCUGGUCUUAGAGGAUGAUCAGCCACAGUGGGACUGAGACACGGCCCGCACCCCUACGGGGGGCAGCAGUGGGGAAUCGUGGGCAAUGGGCGCAAGCCUGACCCCGCAAUGCCGCGUGAGGGAAGAAGCCCUUCGGGGUGUAAACCUCUGUCAGAUGGGAAGAU
rnacentral:rRNA from 1 species